UUACAUCCCUAUCUUGACCUGUCUCCUUUUCAAAAGCCUGAGAGAACAGAAGGACCUUGUGUGCACUCUGAAGGUGAACGGAUUGAGACUCCAUCAAGUAAAGGGAAAAACAAGCUCUGGAAAUGAUGAGCACUCACCAAAAAUAUCCUGUUAGCAACCUCCUUUUGGGUAACCACUAAGCUCAAACAACUCAGCUUUGAUGGUACCAUACAUUCAGUUUGUGUCUCAGUUAAUGUGGAAAGUCCCAAGCCAUAUAGGUCUUUACAAAACAAAAACCAGCAUCUUGAAAUGCUCCUGCCACAAAGUCGCAGCCAGUGCAAAUGACAGAACUCACUGUCUAAAACACUCCUUCUAAGAAGCAUCACGAAGUGAGCACCCACAUUCUGAUCCUCCAGGUUAGCCCCCCAUAGUGUGCACUGGAGCAAUCUAAACACUGAUCUAAGCAUUGAUCAUUGCAGAAGAGGUGGUUCUUCUUGUCAGAAGCAGAUUAAAAAAACAUUUUUGUUCACUGCUACUAUCUGGACAUCUACAACCAGCUGGGAAUGUAACAUAAGUCUGAUUAUAAACCUGGGUCACAAACUGGCAAACUCUUCCCAUCAAAGCAUCCAACACAACCUUUCCAUCCACUGAACUGCUUCCCCCAGACUCAUAACUCAAGUUUAUCUGGAUUGAGACUCAACCAGCCAGCCCUCCUCCGUCCCCCAUGCUUAGUUUCCAUUGGAUAAGAGACUCAUCUGCACCAACUGAGCCACAUGAGUGAAGAACAAUGCUGGCCAAUACAGUACUACUCAUUUAUAUCACACUCAUCCCCAAAGUAAUUAAGCACCUAAACAUAAUGUUUUGCCACAGAGAUCACUCACAUGUCCACAUCCCAAACUGCACCCCCAACACAAGAGAAAAAUGUGCAAUCGAAAGCCAAAACAAAAAUCUAUUUCAGAAAUAAAUCAACAACAAAUAAUAAAUGUCACUGAAGAUGUAAACUCUUGCACCCUGCUAUACACUUAAAACGUAGAUCAACACAGUUACAUCAUGCAAGGCCAAGGUGGAUUUUUUUUUAAAAAGCUUUAUUUUUUAAUCAAAUCCUUCCUUGACUUAAAUUGGAUUAUUUCAUUACUUAAAUUAUGAUUUCUUUAAAAAAGACAUUUAAAAUGAAAUCUAUAUAUGUUAAGGUCUGAACUUAAAAGCUCUUUAAACAGUUACAUUUAAAAAAAAAAAAAAACACUGGAUCCAUGAAGCCUUAUCUAAAGCACCUAGUUAAAGGAUGCUUUCCUAUAUUUUAAAAAAAGAAUCAGGGAAAACACAUCUAACUUUUGAGGUCAAGCUUUAUAAAUAUAGCACAGUAUGACAUGCGCCUUAUUAAAAGGCAGAUCCUAUGUCCCAACUGGCCAAAGUCAUCACGUGUUGUAAGAAUGUAAAAUCCCAUUCAAUUAGUUAAUCGGUUAAACCUUAUGUUUAACAGGUUAACCGAUUAAACAGAGGUGGGGCAGAGGAGCCGCUCUGCUCUAGAGCCAAGUUGGAGCAGCCCUGCCGAUUAAUGGUAAGGGUGAUGCUUACUGGUUUACCAUUCACAUCCCUCACGUUGGGACCUACCUUCUGACUCCAGGGGACAUCAUCAUGUGUCUCACCAGGAUCAUCCACCAAACUCAUCUGGAUGGUCUCAUGCUCCUCUAGCUUCUUCCUAGCUGAGAUCUGACUGCUUUAGUUCUCAAAUUAUGAGCUUUAUGACUCCACCCACCAUGGAAAUUUACUCUCCAGCUUCUGGAAAAACAAUGAUUUGCUCACCAACAACCAGGCCCUUACUUAGAGGCACCUCAAAUAAAUGGCCUUGUUCUGUCUCCUUUCACAUGUGCACAGAAAGGGAUACAAACAAACCAACCAAUUCCUCAACCACCUCCCUUAGUCUCUAAACAAAUAAAAAUAGUGCAGUGAAAAAAGCAUGUGGGUUACACAAGCAGAAAUCAAAGGGCACGUCUGCACGCCAAGGUUUUGUCACCAAAAACUGACUUUUGGCGACAAAACAGUGAGAGCGUUCACACGGCAACACAACUUUUGUCAGGAAAAACAGUUUCAGAGACAAAAAGCUUACACUCCGAUGAGACACUUUUCUUUUCCCCUCUCUUUAUUAUCAGUGACGAGCCAGUGUAGACUCUGCUGUUUGUUUUGUGGACAGAACUGGCUUCUGCCCAUAUCCCACAAUGCCUGCCCUGGUGACUCUGCUCAGUGUUUUGAUCUCUGCUGCACUGCAGACAUGCACUCCCCUUUCAAAAGUCCAGGAAUAUGACAGUUGAAAGAGCUUUUCCUUUUAGGGACCAAAGAGCAAAUCAUUCGAGUGCUCCUGUUCUGCCCUGCACUAGGAACACUGCCGCAAGGCACACAGCUGCUCACCAGGAAUAAAGCGCUCUCAGCAGCUGAGGUGGCUGUGGGAAAACUCAGAGGGAAUCCCAAGAUGCACAGCUCUGCCAUCUCACAACACUUCACUGAGGGAAUGGGACACAUACACACAGUGCAUCGCUCACACUAUCAAUAGUCCCCUAAUGUGGACAUGAUCUGCAGACAGAGGAAGCAAGUAUGAACACCUUCUGGCGAUUUUUCCUGUGUUGACUUUUGGUGUCAACAAAAUUUGGUAGUGUAGACAUUCCUUACACUGUUGUUCUUUGCUUUUUCUAGGUGAGAAUUGGGAGGAAGGAGACAGAGAAAACUAGCUUGGCUGGAUGUUGUAAAAAAACACUGCAUUUAGAAAUAUUUUCUAAGUAUUUCUAAAUACCUCUAAACCUCCAGGUAAACAAGGAACACAUGGCAAAUGUAAACAACGAGACAAAGGCACAAAACACCAUGACAGUUCAGACAUGCUCACAUAAUUUUCCAUCUAGUUGGUAAUACAAUAACUCAGUGAGAGUGACUUUUAUUACCAAUUUGCUGCAGAAACCGUCUUAGAUAUAAGGGAUUAUGAAAGUCUAUCAUCUGUCAUGUCUACAAGUUAAGAGUUCUCUGCAGUGUUGUUAACUAAACAUACAUCAGACAAUAAAUUACCUAUACCAAA